rfam:Setaria italica strain Yugu1 chromosome V, whole genome shotgun sequence.
AAGGUGAUAGAUGACGACGAGAUGGCUCACUUUAUUUUAAAUGGUCUUGACAUUGAUUACAAUCCGUUUGUAUCAUCUAUGCUUGGUCAUGUUGGAUCUGUCUCCUUGAGUGAGUUAUACUCUCAGUUACUAGCCUAUGACA